rnacentral:lncRNA from 1 species
GGUAGAUAGUCCUGUAGUGCUGAAAUAAUAAUUUUAAUGUCUUUAUGUUGCCACAUGUUAAGACCAUGAUGAAGGUAUAAAUGGAAAUGUUUUUUAUGUCAAUUUACAAACUAUUUGAAAAGUUAGGCAUUUUCUUUAUUUAUCUUUUAUUUAAAAUAUACUAUAAAAGUAUAGAAAUAUUUAGAUCUGAUAUAGUUUGUACAUCAAAAAUUGAGAGCUGAGAAAAUUAUCUUGAUCCUGCUGCUGGAUUUUAAAAACAGUUUCACCUGUUGUAGGCAAACACCAUCUACUUUUGUCUCCAUAGGUUUGCCUGUUCUGCAUAUUUCAUAUACAUAGAGUUAGACAAUACAUAGUCCUUUGUGACUGGCUUUUUCACUUAGCUUAAUGUUUUCAGAAUUCAUGCAUGUUUUAGCACACAUUGGUAGUUUAUUUCUUGUUAUAGUUAAAUGAUACUCGAUUGCAUGGCUAUACUGGUUUUCCAUUCAUUU